AAAAGAAAUGGAUCAGAUGCUUCAGAGAAGAAAUAAUUUUGUAGGAAGUCAGGAGACCUAAGUUUAGUCUACUAAGACCCUUCCUUGUGUCCUUGGAUCACUGGCCUGAGUCCAGAGAAUUCUGAGCCCUGCAGCCCUUUCUGCCUGGAGGGGAACCGAGCAGGGAGGGAGCUGCACCAAACAUGCGCCCUCUGCUCCUUAGAGGCCUGAUGCUCCCUUCAGUUUACUCUGGCUUGACAGCUCCAUUUCAACCCCCACCUUGGAGAUGAGGCAGCUCAAUAUUUACUCAGCCAGAGAGCAAGUGUAAACCCAAGAAAAGACUCAACUUUGGAAAUGUAAAGGAUUUGAAGGACCAGCUGGAUGUUUCUACUGGCAGAAAAUGGACAGAGAAGACCUCCUGCAGGGACACCCAAGAGAA